AGGUUGCGAUAGUGUGUUUCUGAAGACAAGUGUGUAGGUUGCCGGUAGCAACUUGCCAUAGUGUGUUUCUGAAGACAAGUGUGUUGGUUGCCGGUAGCAACUUGCCAUAGUGUGUUUCUGUAGACAAGUGUGUUGGUUGCCGGUAGCAAAUUGCCAUAGUGUGUUUCUGUGGACGAGUGUGUUGGUUGCCGGUAGCAACUUGCCAUAGUGUGUUUCUGUAGACUAGUGUGUUGGUUGCCAGUAGCAACUUGCCAUAGUGUGUUUCUGUAGACAAGUGUGUUGGUUACCGGUAGCAACUUGCCAUAGUGUGUUUCUGUAGACAAGUGUGUUGGUUGCCGGUAGCAACUUGCCAUAGUGUGUUUCUGUAGACAAGUGUGUUGGUUGCCAGUAGCAACUUGCCAUAGUGUGUUUCUGUAGACCAGUGUGUUGGUUGCCAGUAGCAACUUGCCAUAGUGUGUUUCUGUAGACCAGUGUGUUGGUUGCCAUUAGCAACUUGCCAUAGUGUGUUUCUGUAGACAAGUGUGUUGGUUGCUGGUUUCCCCAGAGGGAGGCUUAUAAGUUGAAAUAAUUGAGAUGUUUUCAGUCAAUGGAUGCUGUUGAAUAGUUAGAAAAGAGGAUUCAAAAAGCAAUUAAAAACCUCUUACAUUCAACAUUAUGAAGGAUGUUUGAAAGAUCUCGAAGAAUGAACGUUUUUAAAGUGGCCCAAUGAGGAAGAUAUGCAAUUCUUUCUAGUGGCCGAAAGAGAAAUUAUUUUAAAUGAAGUGUUUAUUAUGACAAUGACUUCAUUUAGACUUAGUCAUUGUGAAAAAUAUGCUUGAAGAAUCCUUAAUGGAUUGUGACACUAUUGUUCAUAAAACUGUUCAUAAAGUGACAAAAUCUUGAGAUACACUCCAGACGGCACACUUGGAAACAACCUUUUGUUUGUCUACAUUGUGGAAAGGAUGCAGAUGAAAAGGCAACUUGAAGUCACAAAUCAAAUCUUGCCGUAGUGUUCUUUUGUAGAUCAGUGUGCAUGUGGCCAUAAAGUGUUCUGUCAGUGUUUAUUAGCAUUUGCUUAUUUUAAUUCCUAUAAAAGUUUUUGGUUCGUUUAAUGUCACAUGCCUCAUCAUUUGUUUGACUUUUUAUAAUUUACUAGUUAAUUCUUAUAUGGCUGUAUAAUAAACCUUAGCUUUCUAUUCAAACCUUAAUCCAUAACAUGGCAGCUUUGAAGCAUUUGUGUCUAAAAUUUUCUGUGGUUAUUGUUUCCUAUAUACAUGUAUGAAGAAUAUGUAAUUGGUCUCACAAAGUUUAAUAAAUGUUGAACAGA